GAUGAACGCUGGCGGCGUGCCUAAUACAUGCAAGUCGAGCGAACGGACGAGAAGCUUGCUUCUCUGAUGUUAGCGGCGGACGGGUGAGUAACACGUGGAUAACCUACCUAUAAGACUGAGAUAACUUCGGGAAACCGGAGCUAAUACCGGAUGAUAUUUUGAACCGCAUGGUUCAAAAGUGAAAGACGGUCUUGCUGUCACUUAUAGAUGGAUCCGCGCUGCAUUAGCUAGUUGGUAAGGUAACGGCUUACCAAGGCAACGAUGCAUAGCCGACCUGAGAGGGUGAUCGGCCACACUGGAUCUGAGACACGGUCCAGACUCCUACGGGAGGCAGCAGUAGGGAAUCUUCCGCAAUGGGCGAAAGCCUGACGGAGCAACGCCGCGUGAGUGAUGAAGGUCUUCGGAUCGUAAAACUCUGUUAUUAGGGAAGAACAUAUGUGUAAGUAACUGUGCACAUCUUGACGGUACCUAAUCAGAAAGCCACGGCUAACUACGUG
rnacentral:rRNA from 1 species